CUGGCGGCAGGCUUACACAUGCAAGUCGAGCGGGGGAAGGUAGCUUGCUACCGGACCUAGCGGCGGACGGGUGAGUAAUGCUUAGGAAUCUGCCUAUUAGUGGGGGACAACAUCUCGAAAGGGAUGCUAAUACCGCAUACGUCCUACGGGAGAAAGCAGGGGAUCUUCGGACCUUGCGCUAAUAGAUGAGCCUAAGUCGGAUUAGCUAGUUGGUGGGGUAAAGGCCUACCAAGGCGACGAUCUGUAGCGGGUCUGAGAGGAUGAUCCGCCACACUGGGACUGAGACACGGCCCAGACUCCUACGGGAGGCAGCAGUGGGGAAUAUUGGACAAUGGGGGGAACCCUGAUCCAGCCAUGCCGCGUGUGUGAAGAAGGCCUUAUGGUUGUAAAGCACUUUAAGCGAGGAGGAGGCUACUCUAGUUAAUACCUAGGGAUAGUGGACGUUACUCGCAGAAUAAGCACCGGCUAACUCUGUGCCAGCAGCCGCGGUAAUACAGAGGGUGCGAGCGUUAAUCGGAUUUACUGGGCGUAAAGCGUGCGUAGGCGGCUUAUUAAGUCGGAUGUGAAAUCCCCGAGCUUAACUUGGGAAUUGCAUUCGAUACUGGUGAGCUAGAGUAUGGGAGAGGAUGGUAGAAUUCCAGGUGUAGCGGUGAAAUGCGUAGAGAUCUGGAGGAAUACCGAUGGCGAAGGCAGCCAUCUGGCCUAAUACUGACGCUGAGGUACGAAAGCAUGGGGAGCAAACAGGAUUAGAUACCCUGGUAGUCCAUGCCGUAAACGAUGUCUACUAGCCGUUGGGGCCUUUGAGGCUUUAGUGGCGCAGCUAACGCGAUAAGUAGACCGCCUGGGGAGUACGGUCGCAAGACUAAAACUCAAAUGAAUUGACGGGGGCCCGCACAAGCGGUGGAGCAUGUGGUUUAAUUCGAUGCAACGCGAAGAACCUUACCUGGGCCUUGACAUACUAGAAACUUUCCAGAGAUGGAUUGGUGCCUUCGGGAAUCUAGAUACA
rnacentral:rRNA from 1 species